rnacentral:rRNA from 1 species
AUACGGAGGACGCGAGCGUUAUCCGGAUUCAUUGGGUUUAAAGGGUGCGCAGGCGGCCGUGCAAGUCAGCGGUGAAAGCCCGGGGCUCAACCCCGGAAGUGCCGUUGAUACUGCAUGGCUGGAAUGCGGUCGAGGCGGGCGGGACGUGGCGGGUAGCGGGGGAAUGCGUAGAUAUGCCACAGAACGCCGAUAGCGGGGGCAGCUCGCCAGGCCUGCAUUGACGCUCGGGCACGAAAGCGUGGGGAUCGAACAGGAUUAGAUACCCUGGUAGUCCACGCCGUAAACGAUGGGCGCUCGUCGUCGGCGGCAGACAGUCGGCGGCCAAGCGAAAGCGAUAAGCGCCCCACCUGGGGAGUACGGUCGCAAGGCUGAAACUCAAAUGAAUUGACGGGG